rnacentral:rRNA from 1 species
AACGAGCGCAACCCUUGUCCUUAGUUACCAGCACGUUAUGGUGGGCACUCUAAGGAGACUGCCGGUAGGACAAACCGGAGGGAAGGUGGGGAUGACGUCAAGUCAUCAUGGCCCUUACGGCCUGGGCUACACACGUGCUACAAUGGUCGGUACAAAGGGUUGCCAAGCCGCGAGGUGGAGCUAAAUCCCAUAAAACCGAUCGUAGUCCGGAUCGCAGUCUGCAACUCGACUGCGUGAAGUCGGAAUCGCUAGUAAUCGUGAAUCAGAAUGUCACGGUGAAUACGUUCCCGGGCCUU